rnacentral:lncRNA from 1 species
UGUGGCUGGAUGGAUGUGAUAUAGAUGGCAAUGAUAGUAGCACCAAGGCUAAGAAUGUCUGCAAGUGAAUUUGGAUGCAAUCAAAUCAAAUUGUAAAUGGAAGUGCCGCUAGUUGUAUAGAUAUGACUUUUGAGUAUGUAUGCAUGGUAAUGUUAACAUGAACUGAGUAAAAAGUAGCAAAUGCCAUUUAAAUGGAACAAAUAUUAGCUGCAACUUCUAUUUGGGAAUCAAGAUCUUGAUCAU